rnacentral:rRNA from 1 species
GACGUAGGGUGCAAGCGUUGUCCGGAAUUAUUGGGCGUAAAGCGUCCGCAGGUGGCACUUCAAGUCUGUCGUCAAAGACCGGGGCUUAACCCUGGAAAGGCGAUGGAAACUGAAAGGCUAGAGAGAGGUAGGGGUAGAGGGAAUUUCCAGUGUAGCGGUGAAAUGCGUAGAGAUUGGGAAGAACAUCGGUGGCGAAAGCGCUCUACUGGACCUCAUCUGACACUCAGGGACGAAAGCUAGGGGAGCGAAUGGG